AAGGAAGGCUGGGCGCAGGGCCUGCAGAGAGGAGCCAGGGCAUCCUGACUUCCCAAAAGGGCUCCUCCCUCCUGUAUUCAGAACCCAGUGUGGCUGUUGUCUUCAUUCAGUUGUCAGCAUUUUGUUUGUGCUGAAGACAGAGAAUGGAGAAGCUGUGAUUUUUCACUGCAUCCCAGAGCAAGCUUUGCAGAAGAGGACACUCAAGUCAAACAAUGCAGAGAAACAGCCACAAGGAGGAAGAUAUAAUUGGUUCUGGAGCUGAUGGGAGAGAAACGGGGUCAGGAGAAUGGGUUAUGCGUUACAUUCAAGUGUAUUCAGAUGUAAGGCUUUGCUUCCAUGGCCCCUUACCUCUUCUCUCAACAGACCUAUCAUACUGAAAUAAAAUAAAACCAA